CUUCUUCUGACAGCUCACUCUCAGCCUCUGCCUUACUCAUCAGGCCGGCGGCCUCUCUUUAUGUGACUCCCCAUGGCCGGCCACCGGACGCCCGCUCCCCUGCCUCCCUGCCACUGGCCUCGACGUCCGCCUCCUCCAUCCUCCAGGCAACUGGAGACCAGGGGAACUCCUGGGAGGCGAGGUGACCCAGCGGGAGGCGCCAAGGGAGGUAGAGGGCGGACCUUUUCUCCACCGGAUCCGAGGCCGCGGCCACGGCAACCGGCCUUCGGUGGCUCUGCGUCGGCCUCCUCUCCGCCAUCGACGCCGUCCUCCCCGCCGCCAAUGAGCUCCCUCCAUCAAUGUCGAUGACCACGUCGGCGUCCCGCUGGCCGGGCUCACUACAGACGGACGGCCCUCUCCGGCUUCCUCCCCUCCGAGUGCAUCACCCACGGAUUCUUCUAUGACGCGGCGCUUCCUUCUCCAUGCUCACAAUCCGCCUCGCCGACAAGCACUGAUAUGAAACCUCUGUUUCUGGAUGGGCGAGUUGUAUUCACAAACCAAGCAGAGCCUGUAAUGCCACAGAAGGAUCCAAGACCUGAUAUGGCUAUCAUUGUACGCAAAGGUUAUGUUCUGGUAUAGGAAAUUCGUGAAAAGCAGAUCCAACGUUUCUGGGCGCUUGUUGGAUAGUCUUGGAAAUAUAUUUGGUAUUGAGAAAGCGUCAGCAAGGCUUGCAACAACUAAUGGAAGGUUCGAGUCAAAAAAGUUAGUAGAAAGGGUGAAAAACUCUCGUCGGGAUUGUUGAGAAUGGGUAUCUGUUCUGUGUCCUCACCUGGUCAAUAAAGAGGGCCAAGCAUGUAGUACAAAUACAGCCCCAGGUCAGCACAUGUUUGUUAUUCUUACCCUUAUGGCCAUGUGGUUCAUAUUUUCUGGUAAUUUUUGCAUGGUAACCGUGCACCUCCAUAUGCUCUCUGCCUACGUUUCGUCUUUAUUUGCACUCUCACAUUUUUUUAACUACUGCUUACAUGAAUGGCUUUGGGCGUGGUACACACUUCUGUACCAUGAUGUCCAAUUUUCAUCUAAAACAGCGUUGGAUAUAAUACCACGUUACCUUAUCAUCUAAAAAAGCAUCCAUCUUUUGUAUUUCAUUUUUUUAUUAUGUAUCAUUUCAUUUAAGAAUUAAGAUUGAGGCUACCUUUUUGUAACAUGGAGAGCAUGAUAUGCUGAGAAGUUAUUUUUUCUUUUACUUAUCUUGGAACCUGACAUAAUGUGUCUUUGCCAUUCAAGUUUGAAAUAUUAAUUUGAAUGUGCAUACCCAUGCAUUGCAGGGUAGAAAAUAAGGAAGAUUCCACGUAGCUUCUUAUAGAAUUCCCUUUCAUAGUUUCUAACUCUUCUGAUUAUUUUACCUGCAGUGUUAAGAGAGCAUUCAGUUGUGAAACCUGUUCUCCUGUUUCUAGAUGGCAUUCAUGCUUAACAGGGAGUCUCCUCCUACCUCCCCUGCUGCCGUGAGAUGCAGGUGCGUGCGGCAGAAUGUCUCCACGGCGUAGAGUGCGGGUGUUGUCGCCUGGAAGUGUUCCGACGGCGAUAAGCGUGUGGGAGUGUCUCCGGCGGCGAUUGGCGAGCGGGAAUGUUGUCACGCUGGAGUGCUUCGGCGGCGAUCGUGGUGGCUGGCGAGCGGGAGUGCUGCGGUGGCGGUCAGGAGCGCUGGCGAGCGGGAGCGAUGCGGCGGCAAUCGUGGUUGCUGGCGAGCGGGAGUGAUGCGGCGGCAAUCGUGGUUGCUGGCGAGCGGGAGUGCUGCGGCGGCGAGCGGGAGUCCUGCGGCGGCGAUCGUGGCUGGCGAGCGGGAGCAGUGCGUGGUAGCGAUUGGGAUGGUCUUGGACGGUUGGCGUGCGUGGGUUUAAUUUACAUGGUGUGGGUGGGUUUAAUUUUUUAUUUUUUACAUGGCGUGCGUGGAUUGGGAGUUAGUGGGUGGGUUGUACCGUUUGAAAAACAAAGCCAUGCGUGAGGAUGGGUGUUCCGCUCCAUCAAACAUAGAAACGAUGUGGUGCGUUGGAUAAACUGAUUGAACGUUCCUGAUUGUCUGGAUCAGCCCCUCUGGGGCUUUUAUUAGUAGUAGAGAUGUUUUUAUACAUGUUU